AGAGACGAUCAUUCCUCUAGGAAGAAGAGUUGAAUGAAGCCUGCAGAGAGGCCUCUGGGGAACAGUGCAUGGAGUCUCUUCACCCAGUCAUUCACUUCCUCCUUUACGUACUUGCUUAUUCCUGUGUCUACUUCUGUCUGUAUUUCUUGGUUUAUUUUGUUAGCAUCUUUACGGAGGAUUAGGCAACCAGCUGGACAAAAGCCUCUUUGGGUACAGAAAAUCCUACCCACUGCCCAUGGUGAGAUCUAAGAUCCAACUAACAUUGGCCAAGGAAGGAGAAGGGGGUGGGAGGGGUUCCGCUCAUCAUCAGGUGUUGUGAAGGGACAAAGGCUGGCCUGGAAGACAUACUAAAUACGGUUACUAACUCAGAGACUGGGAAAGCCCCAAGGCUACUGGUAAUUAACAAAAGGCAAUGCUCACCUUAUAGACCUGUAGCCAUGGAGAUGGAAGGCUUUCUUUCAGCAGCGUGUGGGCUGCCCCUAGAGAAACGGCUAAUUUCUUUCAAAUGCUGUAUACUGGAAAAAUCUCAAGUACUCAUCAGAUAAACCAAUUUAAAAA